ensembl:lncRNA
AUGGUGAAGACUAAGUUUGGAUGCACACCAAAAGCUAUUCAAACUGACUGUGGUAGUGAGUACACUUCACAUCGCACACAAAGGUUCCUGGGAGAGAAUGGAAUUCAGCAUAUUAAGAGUGUUCCUUAUACUCCUCAGCAAAAUGGAGUGGCUGAAAGGAAGCUUAGGUCUCUAGUUGAGAUGACAAGGUGUAUGUUAAAAGAUGUAAAUCUUCCAGAUUGCCUCUGGGGCGAAGCUUUUGCCACUGCUACUUUUCUUCAGAAUCGUCUACCAACGAAAAGUGCUACUAAAACUCCUUUUGAGUUGUGGACUGGUAAUGUGCCAAGUAUGAAACGCAUCAAAAAGUUUGGAAGUAUAGCUUAUGCUUACAUUCCCAAGCAGAAAAGGCACAAGUUGGACUUUAGAUCUGAACAAACUAUUUUAGUUGGUUAUGCACCUGCAAAUAAAGGCUAUAGAGUCAUGAACUUAUUGACCGGUGAAGUAUCUACACGACAUGUAGUGCAUUUUGAUGAACAGAGCAAAGUCAAUCUAAAAGGGACUGUGCUAGAUUUUUCAGAUGAAGAAGAGAAUACUACUUUACAGCUUACAGAGUCCAUUGAUGAUAUACCAACAAUUUCUUCAAUUGACACACUGGAAAUGUCACCGGAGUUCAUCCAGAGAGGCAAGGAACGCACCACAGACGCUAGAGGCAGUACACAAACAGGAGGGCCAGAAGAUGAUGCUGGUGAGUUGUGUCCUGGAGUAGAUGGAUCUGUGGAGGUAGGUUGUCUUCCAGAACAAACUCACAGGUAUUCAUUGUGUCCUAACAGAGGUGUACCACCCUCGAGAUUGUCUUACCUUGCAGAGUCAAAAUUAUCCAGUGAACCAUCUACUAUAGAAGAAAUUGAGAUGCUACCUGCCACAGAAGCUGAACAGUGGAGGAAAGCAGCACAAGAAGAGAUUGAUGCUCUACACAAGAAUGGAACUUGGACACUAACUGAACUUCCACCUGGUAAGAAGCCAAUUGGAUGCAGAUGGGUAUUCACAUUAAAGAGAGAUGCAGAAGGAAGAAUAGAGUGCUACAAAGCGAGACUAGUUGCUCAGGGAUUUUCUCAGAAGUAUGGAGUUGAUUAUGAUGAAACUUUUGCACCUGUAGUGAAACACAGCACCAUAAGACUACUUCUAAGCAUUGCAGCUUCAAAGAAGAUGACUGUACGACAUCUAGAUGUUAAGACUGCAUUCCUGCAUGGAAAGAUUAUGGAAAGUCUAUUUAUGAGACAACCACCUGGUUUUGAGGACAAGAGAAGACCUCACCUUGUUUGUAAACUUCACAAAGGUUUAUAUGGACUUCGUCAAUCAGCAAAUGCCUGGAAUGACAAAUUAGAUGAAAUGCUGAAGCAAUUGGGAUUCAAGCAAGGAGAAGCAGAUCAGUGUUUGUACACUAGAACCAAGAAUGGACAUUGUACUUUUAUUCUGACCUAUGUAGAUGAUCUUAUUGUAUCAACUGAAUCAGAUGGUGAUUACACCGAGGUUGUACAACAUUUGAGCAAACAAGUUGAAUUGAAAGAAGUUGGAGAUGCUACGUACUAUCUUGGAAUACAAAUCAAGAGAGAGGAAGAUGGAUCUUUUCUCUUGAGUCAGAAGCAAAAGAUUAUAGAUUUGCUGGAAGUUACUGGACUUCAAGAUGCAAAAACAGUAGCUACACCAAUGUGUCAGAACCCUGCUACUAGAGCCUGGAUGUGGCUCUGA